rnacentral:pre_miRNA from 1 species
UUUCUACUCCCUCUGUCCAAAAAUACUUGUCAUCAAAAUGGAUAAAAAGAGAUGUAUCUAAAACUAAAAUACGUCUAGAUACAUUUCCUUUUAUCCAUUUUGAUGACAAGUAUUUCCGAACGGAGGGAGUAUUUG